GCCUAACACAUGCAAGUCGAACGAGACCUUCGGGUCUAGUGGCGCACGGGUGCGUAACGCGUGGGAACCUGCCCUUAGGUUCGGAAUAACUCCCCGAAAGGGGUGCUAAUACCGGAUAAUGUCUUCGGACCAAAGAUUUAUCGCCUUUGGAUGGGCCCGCGUUGGAUUAGCUAGUUGGUGAGGUAAAGGCUCACCAAGGCGACGAUCCAUAGCUGGUCUGAGAGGAUGAUCAGCCACACUGGGACUGAGACACGGCCCAGACUCCUACGGGAGGCAGCAGUGGGGAAUAUUGGACAAUGGGCGAAAGCCUGAUCCAGCAAUGCCGCGUGAGUGAUGAAGGCCCUAGGGUUGUAAAGCUCUUUUACCCGGGAUGAUAAUGACAGUACCGGGAGAAUAAGCUCCGGCUAACUCCGUGCCAGCAGCCGCGGUAAUACGGAGGGAGCUAGCGUUGUUCGGAAUUACUGGGCGUAAAGCGCACGUAGGCGGCUUUUUAAGUCAGGGGUGAAAUCCCGGGGCUCAACCCCGGAACUGCCUCUGAAACUGGAUGGCUAGAAUCUUGGAGAGGCGAGUGGAAAUUCCGAGUGUAGAGGUGAAAUUCGUAGAUAUUCGGGAAGAACACCCAGUGGCGAAGGCGACUCGCUGGACAAGUAUUGACGCUGAGGUGCGAAAGCGUGGGGGAGCAACAGGAUUAGAUACCCUGGUAGUCCACGCCGUAAACGAUGAAAACUAGCUGUCCGGGUUCAUAGAACUUGGGUGGCGCAGCUAACGCAUUAAGUUAUCCGCCUGGGGAGUACGGUCGCAAGAUUAAAACUCAAAGGAAUUGACGGGGGCCUGCACAAGCGGUGGAGCAUGUGGUUUAAUUCGAAGCAACGCGCAGANCCUUACCAGCCUUUGACAUCCUGGUCGCGGGGAGAGGAGACUCACCCCUUCAGUUCGGCUGGACCAGUGACAGGUGCUGCAUGGCUGUCGUCAGCUCGUGUCGUGAGAUGUUGGGUUAAGUCCCGCAACGAGCGCAACCCUCGUCCUUAGUUGCCAUCAUUUAGUUGGGAACUCUAAGGAAACCGCCGGUGAUAAGCCGGAGGAAGGUGGGGAUGACGUCAAGUCCUCAUGGCCCUUACAGGCUGGGCUACACACGUGCUACAAUGGCGAUGACAGUGGGCAGCUAUCCCGCAAGGGUGAGCUAAUCUCCAAAAGUCGUCUCAGUUCGGAUUGUCCUCUGCAACUCGAGGGCAUGAAGGCGGAAUCGCUAGUAAUCGCGGAUCAGCAUGCCGCGGUGAAUACGUUCCCAGGCCUUGUACACACCGCCCGUCACACCAUGGGAGUUGGUUUCACCCGAAGGUGGUGCGCUAACCCGCAAGGGAGGCAGCCAACCACGGUGGGAUCAGCGACUGGGGUGAAGUCGUAACAAGGUAGCCGUAGGGGAACCUGCGGCUGGAUCACCUCCUU
rnacentral:rRNA from 1 species